AUUGUUGGCAGAAGCCGAAGUAACUAUAUUACCUGCCACAUCCUAGCUGGAGGCUCAAAGCUGGCUGUCAUCACUGGUGACCCUGACUGAGCACAGUCCCCAGCCUAAGGUUACCGAGGUGGGUGGAGGAGGAAGAUCUUGCUCUGCUGGAGGGAAGGCUGGCCGGCUUCCCAGGCAAUGAGUGGCGUCCGCAGAGGCCUCUAAGGGCUGGCAGGAGCCUCCCGGGUGGAGAAGGAGGAAGAGGAGGGCUUCCCACUCUGCAGCUGAACUACGGUUUAGGGAAGGAGAGACAAGCCGGAGCAAGUAGGAGGUGGCAGCCACAGCGGGCCGGGCCGAGGCUCACAACUGGCACCGAGGCUGUUUGCUGUUCCAGGAACUAUGUUAAGUGACUCACCGAACGCACACUGCCUGUGCGACGCGAGGCCCUAUUUUAAGGAUGCGGACAUCGCGGUACUGCGAUGGGCGUUAACUGGCCUGAAGUCACAGCGCCAGGAACUGGAGGCUCGGCGUCUGCACCCAGCACCUGCAGCUUCACUGCCGAGCCUAGAAAGUGCCAGCCCUCAGCUCUGAGUUAAGGGACACGGGCCGCAGAAGAAAACUCGGGACUGCUCACUUGCGAGGGAGAGUGAAGCGCUCGUCAAUUUACAGAAGCCUGUUCUCUUUGAGGACAUCUACCAGCGCCUUCUCUUGUGAAAUUGACAGAAUUGCGACGGCAGUAACCAGGGCUGCGAUGCCCGCCUGAGGCAGGGAGCAGCUCCUCCACACUGAGGAACCUUUUCAUUCACUCUGGCUACCCUAGAGGAGUGAAGUGGGGACUUACACAUGGCCUUGGACAUCACAAGAGACCCGAGGAGGCCAUUCUAGAAACUUCCUGCCACCCCCUUUACUGGGGAUCAAACUAGGGAUGCUACAUCCCGAAGAAACCCGGGAGCCCCCAGGCUGAAUUCUGUGUCUGGAUCACUCAGCUCAUGUUCAGUACCACUCCCAGCAGACCAAGGGCCACGUUUUAAAAUCCUUCAUCAUCUUGCUGCCUGCAAGGUGGGGUGCUAACCCUCUUUUUGGCAUUAUUUCACUUCUGCACCUGCACAUGGGACAGGCGUUGGCACUGCCCUUGGGGGCUUCGAGCACACAGCAGCCAGGCUGGCUCCUAGCAGGAGUCAGAAAUGUGUUACUGUUGCUGCAGAACCUACAGAGUACUUUGUCUUUCGCUUGUCUUAACGAGGCUUCUGGAAUAUUUAAAAUCCCAUCUGUGUCUUCCUGCUUUCUACCUCCCUCGGACACAGCAUUCUAGAGCUGUGAUGGCGUAUUCCUGUGACCAUAACAAGCUUCGGGACCUUGGCUGCCGCACAGAACAAAACAGAGCGUUAUGUCCUGUGCAGACACCCUCGACAUCCUUUUGUAAGAGCCCAGGGCACAGAGAUGUGCUGUGCCCAUGACCCUGAGGUCAUCUGCCCAGAGCCCGAUCUCAUCUGUCUUGAGAUGUUUACCAUGGCACUGUCUGCAGCGGGGACACGCAUACUGGGAAUUAUGGCGAAAUCGUGGAAGGUGCUUAAACGACCAGUGAGAGACUGGUUAAAUAGGGUAUGUCUAUACAGCAGUC